rnacentral:rRNA from 1 species
CACGGGGGGAGCAAGCGUUGUUCGGAAUCACUGGGCGUAAAGGGCGUGUAGGCGGUCAAGUAAGUGGGGUGUGAAAUCCCUCGGCUCACCCGAGGAUCUGCAUCCCAAACUGCUUGGCUUGAGUAUGGGAGAGGAUGAGGGAAUUCCUGGUGUAGCGGUGAAAUGCGUAGAUAUCAGGAGGAACACCGGUGGCGAAGGCGCUCAUCUGGCCCAAUACUGACGCUGAGGCGCGAAAGCUAGGGGAGCAAACAGG